rnacentral:rRNA from 1 species
GGAAUGGGUAAUGACUCAAACCUAUAUGGCCCCUGGAUUGGACUGCGGCCGAUCAGGCUGUUGGUGAGGUAAUGGCCCACCAAACCUGUAACCGGUACGGGCUCUGAGAGGAGGAGCCCGGAGAUGGGCACUGAGACAAGGGCCCAGGCCCUAUGGGGCGCAGCAGGCGCGAAACCUCUGCAAUAGGCGAAAGCCUGACAGGGUUACUCUGAGUGAUCUCCGUUAAGGAGAUCUUUUGGCACCUCUAAAAAUGGUGCAGAAUAAGGGGUGGGCAAGUCUGGUGUCAGCCGCCGCGGUAAUACCAGCACCCCGAGUGGUCGGGACGUUUAUUGGGCCUAAAGCAUCCGUAGCCGGUUCUACAAGUCUUCCGUUAAAUCCAGCUGCUUAACAGAUGGGCUGCGGAAGAUACUAUGGAGCUAGGAGGCGGGAGAGGCAAGCGGUACUCGAUGGGUAGGGGUAAAAUCCGUUGAUCCAUUGAAGA